rnacentral:rRNA from 1 species
UACGGGGGGGGCAAGCGUUGUUCGGAAUUACUGGGCGUAAAGGGCUCGUAGGUGGCCAACUAAGUCGGACGUGAAAUCCCUCGGCUUAACCGGGGAACUGCGUCCGAUACUGGUUGGCUUGAGUUUGGGAGAGGGAUGCGGAAUUCCAGGUGUAGCGGUGAAAUGCGUAGAUAUCUGGAGGAACACCGGUGGCGAAGGCGGCCUGCUGGGCAGUUUAGCUGACACUGAGGCGCGACAGCGUGGGGAGCAAACAGG